rnacentral:rRNA from 1 species
AGAGUUUGAUUCUGGCUCAGGAUGAACGCUGGCGGCGUGCCUAACACAUGCAAGUCGAGCGAAGCGAUUUCGAGGAAGUUUUCGGAUGGAAUUGGAAUUGACUGAGCGGCGGACGGGUGAGUAACGCGUGGGUAACCUGCCUCAUACAGGGGGAUAACAGUUAGAAAUGACUGCUAAUACCGCAUAAGCGCACAGGACCGCAUGGUCGAGUGUGAAAAACUCCGGUGGUAUGAGAUGGACCCGCGUCUGAUUAGCUGGUUGGUGGGGUAACGGCCUACCAAGGCGACGAUCAGUAGCCGACCUGAGAGGGUGACCGGCCACAUUGGGACUGAGACACGGCCCAA